UAGUGCUGCAGCUAACGCAUUAAGCACUCCGCCUGGGGAGUACGGUCGCAAGACUGAAUCUCAAAAGAAUUGACGGGGGCCCGCACAAGCGGUGGAGCAUGUUGUUUAAUUCGAAGCAACGCGAAGAACCUUACCAGGUCUUGACAUCCUCUGACAACCCUAGAGAUAGGGCUUUUCCUUCGGGGACAGAGUGACAGGUGGUGCAUGGUUGUCGUCAGCUCGUGUCGUGAGAUGUUGGGUUAAGUCCCGCAACGAGCGCAACCCUUGAUCUUAGUUGCCAGCAUUCAGUUGGGCACUCUAAGGUGACUGCCGGUGACAAACCGGAGGAAGGUGGGGAUGACGUCAAAUCAUCAUGCCCCUUAUGACCUGGGCUACACACGUGCUACAAUGGACAGAACAAAGGGCUGCAAGACCGCAAGGUUUAGCCAAUCCCAUAAAUCUGUUCUCAGUUCGGAUCGCAGUCUGCAACUCGACUGCGUGAAGCUGGAAUCGCUAGUAAUCGCGGAUCAGCAUGCCGCGGUGAAUACGUUCCCGGGCCUUGUACACACCGCCCGUCACACCACGAGAGUUUGCAACACCCGAAGUCGGUGAGGUAUUCUGUUAUCAGC
rnacentral:rRNA from 1 species